GACGAACGCUGGCGGCGUGCUUAACACAUGCAAGUCGAACGAAGAGCGAUGGAAGCUUGCUUCUAUCAAUCUUAGUGGCGAACGGGUGAGUAACGCGUAAUCAACCUGCCCUUCAGAGGGGGACAACAGUUGGAAACGACUGCUAAUACCGCAUACGAUCUAAUCUCGGCAUCGAGGAAAGAUGAAAGGUGGCCUCUAUUUAUAAGCUAUCACUGAAGGAGGGGAUUGCGUCUGAUUAGCUAGGUGGAGGGGUAACGGCCCACCAAGGCGAGGAUCAGUAGCCGGUCUGAGAAGAUGGACGGCCACAUUGGGACUGAGACCCGGCCCAGACUCCUACGGGAGGCAGCAGUGGGGAAUCUUCCGCAAUGGACGAAAGUCUGACGGAGCAACGCCGCGUGAGUGAUGACGGCCUUCGGGUUGUAAAGCUCUGUUAAUCGGGACGAAAGGCCUUCUUGCGAACAGUUAGAAGGAUUGACGGUACCGGAAUAGAAAGCCACGGCUAACUACGUG
rnacentral:rRNA from 1 species